GGAAAAGCUCGGAGCCGGCUCUUAACGCUGGCGAAGAUCUACACUGGGGGUUUUUCUGGGGGGCGGGUGGAGGGUAGGUUUUGUGCUGGAUGAAGCGGCUACUUCCUCGGACCCCGGAACUAGGACUUGGCCACGCAGCAGCUCCAGUUCGGGCGGAUCCUGGUAUACCAGAGCAGAACCUCUUUCAGUGUUGGUUGUGUCUUACACUGGAGGAGCCCAGGAAUGAGAUAUUCUUGGGCUCUCUUUCUUCGCCCCAGCAUUCAACCGCUUCAGUGCAAAAACGCUUGACUCUUUGUUUCCUGGGACACACUUAACCUCAAUGAAGAUUUGAUGGACAGAUCCUUUCUGGUGACUUUUGGGAUUUUUUCUUUCUUUCUCAAUGUGCAAGUUAGACAAGUGAAAGGAGCAGAAAGUUGCCUGCUUUGGUGAAUAACUUGAUUCUUAGAACAUGGGCCCUCGCUUAAAGGUAAGUAAGUAUCAUGAAGUGCACUGUCAGAAACAUAGGCGUGUACCUCUCUGCAAUGUCUGUUGAUCGGAGAACAGUACAUUCACGUUGUAUAGUGGUAAUACUGUGGCGGCAAGUAUUUCCACUUUCCUAGCUCACCAAGACAAAUACAGGUACUCUCACUCUAAUCCCAAUUACUAAUAUUUACUGUCAUAGAGUAAACACUCUGUAUCUAUAGAUCUAAAUAUAUCGAUAUUAUAUAUUGUGUAUAUAAUAUAUAUUGAAUAUAUACCCAUGCACACACAUUUUCAUCCAGUUGAAGGUUAAAUGAGCUGACUUGAUUCAAAGUGUUUCAGAGAGGCCUGGGAAAAAGAACCUGGGCAGCUGAUAGGAGUAAAAUGUGAAUAUGCUGGACACUGCUACUACUGCUGCCACCAUAAAGUCAGACUGCAGGAUCAGAGCUGAGAUUAGCUUCACAAGGAAGUGCAGACCAGAGAGGCAAAGAGUGGGACAAGAUCCAGAUGAAUGGACAGAGAGAGAUGAAGAAAUGGCAAGACAGGUGGCAGUUUGAGUAAGCUGUGUCAAUAGUAGGAAGCGAGCAGAGCUGAAACCAUUGUGAAACACACACGCACGCACGCGCAC
ensembl:lncRNA